GUUAAAGCGCCUUACCUUAGGGUUUCCUCUGGGGUAAGUGAUUGCUUCUACACUGUGAAAAUUUGGCUGAGAGACUCAGACUGGUCAUGGGUAGACCUAUCUGGGGUUUGAUCGAUGCCACUCCUGGUUUCAGGAGCACCCUUCAUAAUAAACCUAGAAAUUCAGUAUUAUAAAGUUUAAUAAAAAACAACUUUUAACAAUGGAUCUCUUGGUUCUCGCAUCGAUGAAGAACGUAGCAAAGUGCGAUAACUAGUGUGAAUUGCAUAUUCAGUGAAUCAUCGAGUCUUUGAACGCAGCUUGCACUCUAUGGUUUUUCUAUAGAGUACGCCUGCUUCAGUAUCAUCACAAACCCACACAUAACAUUUGUUUAUGUGGUAAUGGGUCGCAUCGCUGUUUUAUUACAGUGAGCACCUAAAAUGUGUGUGAUUUUCUGUCUGGCUUGCUAGGCAGGAAUAUUACGCUGGUCUCAGGAUCUUUUUCUUUGGUUCGCCCAGGAAGUAAAGUACAAGAGUAUAAUCCAGCAACUUUCAAACUAUGAUCUGAAGUCAGGUGGGAUUACCCGCUGAACUUAAGCAU
rnacentral:rRNA from 1 species